rnacentral:rRNA from 1 species
GACGAACGCUGGCGGCGCGCCUAACACAUGCAAGUCGAGCGGAGUACCUAGAGGAAGUUCUUCGGAACGGAAUUUGGACUACUUAGCGGCGGACGGGUGGGUAACACGUGAGCAACCUACCCUGGAGUGGGGAAUAACAUUCGGAAACGGAUGCUAAUACCGCAUGAUGUGCAGAGAGAGCAUUCUCUUUGCACCAAAGAUUUAUCGCUCUGGGAUGGGCUCGCGCCUGAUUAGCUAGUUGGUAAGGUAAUGGCUUACCAAGGCGACGAUCAGUAGCCGGACUGAGAGGUUGAUCGGGCCACAUUGGGGACUGAGACACGGGCCCAGACUCCUACGGGGGAGGGCAGCAGGUGGGGGGAUAUUGCACAAUGGGGGGAAACCCUGAUGCAGCGACGCCGCGUGGGCGAAGAAGGCCUUC